UACGUAGGUUGCGAGCGUUGUUCGGAUUUAUUGGGCGUAAAGGGUUCGUAGGGGGUCGGCCAAGUCUGACGUGAAAUCCCGGAGCUUAACUCCGGAACUGCGUUGGAAACUAGUUGACUAGAGCGUCGGAGAGGGGAGUGGAAUUCCUGGUGUAGCGGUGGAAUGCGUAGAUAUCAGGAGGAACACCGAAAGCGAAGGCAGCUCCCUGGACGACUGCUGACCCUGAGGAACGAAAGCGUGGGGAGCAAACAGGAUUAGAUACCCUGGUAGUCCACGCCCUAAACGUUGCGCGCUUGAUGUGGGGGGGCUCAAUCCCUUCCGCACCGUAGCUAACGCGUUAAGCGCGCCGCCUGGGGACUACGGCCGCAAGGCUAAA
rnacentral:rRNA from 1 species